rnacentral:rRNA from 1 species
GCACAAGCGGUGGAUGAUGUGGUUUAAUUCGAUGCAACGACGAAAACCUUACCCACCUUUGACAUGGCAGGAAUCCCGAAGAGAUUUGGGAGUGCUACGAAAGAGAACCUGCACACAGGUGCUGCAUGGCUGUCGUCAGCUCGUGUCGUGAGAUGUUGGGUUAAGUCCCGCAACGAGCGCAACCCUUGCCAUUAGUUGCUACGAAAGGGCACUCUAAUGGGACUGCCGGUGACAAACCGGAGGAAGGUGGGGAUGACGUCAAGUCCUCAUGGCCCUUAUAGGUGGGGCUACACACGUCAUACAAUGGCCGGUACAGAGGGUAGCCAACCCGCGAGGGGGGAGCCAAUCCCACAAAGCCGAUCGUAGUCCGGAUCGCAGUCUGCAACUCGACUGCGUGAAGUCGGAAUCGCUAGUAAUCGUGGAUCAGAAUGUCACGGUGAAUACGUUCCCGGGUCUU